UCCAGACUCCUACGGGAGGCAGCAGUGAGGAAUAUUGGUCAAUGGGCGCGAGCCUGAACCAGCCAAGUCGCGUGAGGGAAGACGGUCCUAUGGAUUGUAAACCUCUUUUGUCGGGGAGCAAAAGCCGGACGUGUCCGUCUGUGAGAGUACCCGAAGAAAAAGCAUCGGCUAACUCCGUGCCAGCAGCCGCGGUAAUACGGAGGAUGCGAGCGUUAUCCGGAUUUAUUGGGUUUAAAGGGUGCGCAGGCGGAUUUUUAAGUCAGCGGUCAAAUCGUGGGGCUCAACCCCAUCCAGCCGUUGAAACUGGGGAUCUAGAGUGUGCGAGAGGUAUGCGGAAUGCGUGGUGUAGCGGCGAAAUGCUUAGAUAUCACGAAGAACCCCGAUUGCGAAGGCAGCCUGCCGCAGCGUUACUGACGCUGAAGCUCGAAAGCGCGGGUAUCGAACAGGAUUAGAUACCCGAGUA
rnacentral:rRNA from 1 species